CCCUUAGAUGUUCUGGGCUGCACGCGCGCUACACUGAUGCGUUCAACGAGUUUAUGACCUUGCCCGAUAGGGUUGGGUAAUCUUUUUAAAUCGCAUCGUGAUGGGGAUAGAUUAUUGCAAUUAUUAAUCUUCAACGAGGAAUUCCUAGUAAACGCAAGUCAUCAGCUUGCAUUGAUUACGUCCCUGCCCUUUGUACACACCGCCCGUCGCACCUACCGAUCGAAGGUAAUGAUGAGCCCUCAGGAUUGUGGCCUCGUCGCGUCAGCGUCUUGGCUGCGAGAAUCUGUGCAAAUCCCUACCUUUAGAGGAAGGUGAAGUCGUAACA
rnacentral:rRNA from 1 species